AUGGACAUUGCAAAGAGUGGCGAACGGGUGAGUAACACGUGGGAAACCUACCUCUUAGCAGGGGAUAACAUUUGGAAACAGAUGCUAAUACCGUAUAACAAUGACAACCGCAUGGUUGUUGGUUGAAAGGUGGUUCUGCUAUCACUAAGAGAUGGACCCGCGGUGCAUUAGCUAGUUGGUAAGGUAACGGCUUACCAAGGCAAUGAUGCAUAGCCGAGUUGAGAGACUGAUCGGCCACAAUGGGACUGAGACACGGCCCAUACUCC
rnacentral:rRNA from 1 species